rnacentral:rRNA from 1 species
GGGAACGUACCUUUCAGUCAGGAAUAACACAGGGAAACUUGUGCUAAUACCGGAUACGCCCUUUUGGGGAAAGAUUUAUCGCUGAAAGAUCGGCCCGCGUCUGAUUAGCUAGCUGGUGAGGUAAUGGCUCACCAGGGCGACGAUCAGUAGCUGGUCUGAGAGGAUGAUCAGCCACACUGGGACUGAGACACGGCCCAGACUCCUACGGGAGGCAGCAGUGGGGAAUAUUGGACAAUGGGCGCAAGCCUGAUCCAGCCAUGCCGCGUGAGUGAUGACGGCCUUAGGGUUGUAAAGCUCUUUCGACGGGGACGAUAAUGACGGUACCCGUAGAAGAAGCCCCGGCUAACUUCGUGCCAGCAGCCGCGGUAAUACGAAGGGGGCAAGCGUUGUUCGGAAUCACUGGGCGUAAAGGGCGCGUAGGCGGACAUUUAAGUCAGGGGUGAAAUCCCGGGGCUCAACCCCGGAACUGCCCUUGAUACUGGGUGUCUUGAGACCGGAAGAGGUAAGUGGAACUGCGAGU